UAAACAACGGUAAGCAACGUUUAUGUUGGCUCUUGGAUCGAUGAAGAAGGGAAAGAAAUGCGAUAGUUGGAGUGAAUGGCAGACUCCCGCGAACCAUUGAGUCAUUGCAAGCUAGUCCCGACAGCAUUCAGUAGGGGGCGGGCCCGCCUGCCCGGGUCUCUUUGG
rnacentral:rRNA from 1 species